UACAGAGGGUGCGAGCGUUAAUCGGAUUUACUGGGCGUAAAGCGUGCGUAGGCGGCUAAUUAAGUCGGAUGUGAAAUCCCCGAGCUCAACUUGGGAAUUGCAUUCGAUACUGGUUAGCCAGAGUAUGGGAGAGGAUGGUAGAAUUCCAGGUGUAGCGGUGAAAUGCGUAGAGAUCUGGAGGAAUACCGAUGGCGAAGGCAGCCAUCUGGCCUAAUACUGACGCUGAGGUACGAAAGCAUGGGGAGCAAACAGGAUUAGAUACCCUGGUAGUCCAUGCCGUAAACGAUGUCUACUAGCCGUUGGGGCCUUUGAGGCUUUAGUGGCGCAGUUAACACAAUAAGUACUCCGCCUGGGAAGUACGGUCGCAAGAUUAAA
rnacentral:rRNA from 1 species